rnacentral:rRNA from 1 species
GUGCCAGCAGCCGCGGUAAUACCGGCAGCCCAAGUGAUGGCCACUCUUAUUGGGCCUAAAGCGUCCGUAGCCGGCCUUGCAAGUCCGUCGGGAAAUCCAGUAGCCCAACUACUGGGCGUCCGGCGGAAACUCCGAGGCUUGGGACCGGAAGGCUCGAGGGGUACGUUCGGGGUAGGAGUGAAAUCCCAUAAUCCCGCACGGACCACCGAUGGCGAAAGCACUUCGAGAAAACGGAUCCGACAGUGAGGGACGAAAGCCAGGGUCUCCAACCGGAUUAGAAACCCUUGUAGUCC